ACUCAUUGCUAUUAGAUGAUAAUUGCAAAAUGUGUAUUUUUGAAGACAAGAUAGCAACUUUAAUUGUGGACAUAUAAAGAGAUUGGAUACCUGAUUCAAAAGAGGAACCCUGAGAAGUUCACUGGCAUAUUGGGAGAUAAGAGGCACUCAGUUUAUCAAUGCCAAGGAGGAGCAAGCAGAGAGACGGGAGACCUCAUACCACCAAGAAAUAAGACCCAGAAGAAUAGCUCAUGUUUUGGAUCUGGUGUCCCUGCCCUGAGAAGCUUCUCAGCUAGGGAAGGUUGAUGACCUUCUUCCAGAGCUGACAGUGAGAUAAAGCCUUCCCCUAGAGCUGGCACCCUGAAUUUGGACUUCAAGCCUUCUAGAGUACCGCCUGGCUUACUUGGAUGUGGAGGCCUCUCAAUAAAUGCAGAAUUAAAUCUGGUAGGAUCCUCCUCCUGAACUGAGCACAUUCAGUUGUAAAUCCCCUUGUGGA